CUUCACACAAGUCGAGCGGUAACAGCAGGAGUAGCUUGCUACUCUGCUGACGAGCGGCGGACGGGUGAGUAAUGCUUGGGAAUAUGCCUUAUGGUGGGGGACAACAGUUGGAAACGACUGCUAAUACCGCAUGAUGUCUACGGACCAAAGUGGGGGACCUUCGGGCCUCACGCCAUAAGAUUAGCCCAAGUGGGAUUAGCUAGUUGGUGAGGUAAUGGCUCACCAAGGCGACGAUCCCUAGCUGGUUUGAGAGGAUGAUCAGCCACACUGGGACUGAGACACGGCCCAGACUCCUACGGGAGGCAGCAGUGGGGAAUAUUGCACAAUGGGCGCAAGCCUGAUGCAGCCAUGCCGCGUGUGUGAAGAAGGCCUUCGGGUUGUAAAGCACUUUCAGUAAGGAGGAAAGGUUAAGUGUUAAUAGCGCUUAGCUGUGACGUUACUUACAGAAGAAGCACCGGCUAACUCCGUGCCAGCAGCCGCGGUAAUACGGAGGGUGCGAGCGUUAAUCGGAAUUACUGGGCGUAAAGCGUACGCAGGCGGUUUGUUAAGCGAGAUGUGAAAGCCCCCGGGCUCAACCUGGGAACUGCAUUUUCGAACUGGCAAACUAGAGUGUGAUAGAGGGUGGUAGAAUUUCAGGUGUAGCGGUGAAAUGCGUAGAGAUCUGAAGGAAUACCGAUGGCGAAGGCAGCCACCUUGG
rnacentral:rRNA from 1 species